AUUGAACGCUGGCGGCAUGCUUUACUCAUGCAAGUCGAACGGUAACAGGGUGCUUGCACCGCUGACGAGUGGCGAACGGGUGAGUAAUGCGUCGGAACGUGCCGAGUAGUGGGGGAUAACGCAUCGAAAGGUGUGCUAAUACCGCAUACGUACUGAGGUAGAAAGUGGGGGACCUUCGGGCCUCACGCUAUUCGAGCGGCCGACGUCUGAUUAGCUAGUUGGUGAGGUAAAGGCUCACCAAGGCGACGAUCAGUAGCGGGUCUGAGAGGAUGGUCCGCCACACUGGGACUGAGACACGGCCCAGACUCCUACGGGAGGCAGCAGUGGGGAAUUUUGGACAAUGGGCGCAAGCCUGAUCCAGCCAUGCCGCGUGUCUGAAGAAGGCCUUCGGGUUGUAAAGGACUUUUGUCCGUGAGCAAAUACCCAGUGCUAAUAACGCUGGGGGCUGAGAGUACCGGAAGAAUAAGCACCGGCUAACUACGUGCCAGCAGCCGCAGUAACAC
rnacentral:rRNA from 1 species